CUUGACAUUGCAGAGAAGGAUUCAUAUCUCUGGUACAUACCUCCUAUUCUGACUAUACUUGGAAUCCUGGGUUUCCUCUUGAUCAGACGACGUGCAGUACCAAAAGCACCUAAGGGUGUGUAUGGCCGCGCCUAGAACCAGGCGCGCUGGAAGCUGUUUCAAGCGAGGGGGGCUGAUGGCUGGGUUGGAAAACAUGUGACGUCAUUAUGUUGUGGGCUGUGGCUGAUGUUUUCAACAUAAUAUUGUAGGCCUACAUUGUUGCCAACAACUGCCAUUUAAAAUGCAUCGGAACAAAGCAUGAAAAAUUCAAACUUUAUUUAAUAUCUUUCAAUCAUUCAAAACAACAGCUUCCAAUCAACAGGAUCAGGAAUACUUAUGAAACAUGGCCUAAAUAUAGCCUAAACUAAGCAUUGAACGUCUUGAAAGUCCAUUCGACUAUGGAUAUGGGGAAUGAUUUCAUAUCUGAAACAAAAAACACACACAAAAAAACAAUUAACUAAUUUCAUAUUUAAUCACUAAAUAAUACAUCACUAAAAUAUACAGCCACAGGACUACGACGAAUAGGCACAGCAUACAGAAAUAAGAAAUAAAUAACGCUAAAAUGCUCGGCGGCAGUAUAGGGGAUUUAAAACCAUUUCUUACCUCGAUUUAAAGUGCACCAAACGUGGCCUUGCGUUCUGGUGUGUUGCCGAUGAAGCUCCGAACAAGAGAUGGUAUAUCCAGCCUGUCCAGAAUGUCACUAUGUAUGUGCAUUAGCGCCAGAUGUGUCAACCUCUUCUGGCUUGUGGUACUUCGGGUCCAGGUUUUCAGUCGUCUGAGUGCUGAGAAUGAUCUUUCUGAUGGAGCAGCUGACACAGGUAGACAUAAACAAAGCUCAACAAAUGCCUCAACUUCUAGUUUGGGGAUGCAAGGAUGAAAUGAAUUCAGCAACCUCUCACUGCAACGAACCUUCUCUCCUUAGUUAGGUUACCCAGUAGAGUUAGUUGCAUUUGUAGGCGUGAUCGAUUGAGCUUUUCCGGGAGUUCCGGACAGGUUUUGGUUUGCAGCUUCGAUAAGAGUCGUUUCUCUAUGUGCAGCCACUUUCAUUCCAUUUUGAUCAAAUCUUCUUUUAAGCUCAGUUUGGAUUAAGUCUACCGCUUCAAAGAACUGACGUCGCCACUGUGCUUCUCCAGAUCUGCACACCAGAGCCUCUGGCUCUGAAGUGUUGCGGAUGCGCGCAGGGGUUUUACUCAAUCUGGAGGGAUUUGGCAUUUUCAAAUUGUUGCAUCUUGCAGCGGUGUUAACCUUCUCCAUCAGCUCUUUGAAAGAGUCAUCUCCCCGAAGUCUCUGCAUAUGUUGCUGGAGGAUUGUGACACACUCCAGGGCUGAGCGUGCAGUUGAUGUUUCACUCUGCAGACUUCGGGCCACUGCCUCAGAAGGCCCAAAAAGUGCCUGCUUGCACAGUAAUCC